CACAGAGUUAGCCGGUGCUUCCUUUGGAGGUACCGUCAGAGCUUCGUCCCUCCCGACAGUGGUUUACAACCCGAAGGCCGUCAUCCCACACGCGGCGUCGCUGCGUCAGGCUUUCGCCCAUUGCGCAAUAUUCCCCA
rnacentral:rRNA from 1 species